rnacentral:rRNA from 1 species
UCAUUAGUUUUUUAAUUGAAGGCUUGUAUGAAAGGUUGGACAAAGAAUAAUCUGUUUCUAUUUUUAUUUUUGAAUUUAACUUUUAAGUGAAAAGGCUUAAAUAAUUUUAAGGGACGAUAAGACCCUAUAAAUCUUAAUAUUAAUUUAUUUUUAGUUAAUUAAUAAUCGUAAAUAUAACAAUAAAAUAUUAAAUAUUAUAUUGGGGUGAUAAGAAUACAAUAAUAAAUAACUGUUCUAAAAUUGAAACAAAAUUAUUUGUAAAAAAAAAAGAUCCUUUAUAAAGAUUAAAAGUUUAAGUUACUUUAGGGAUAACAGCAUUAUUUUUUUUGAGAGUUCUUAUCGAAAAAAAAGUUUGUGACCUCGAUGUUGAAUUAAAAUUUCUUUAUGGUGUAGUUGUUAUAAAAGAGAGUCUGUUCGACUUUUAAAUUUUU